UACGGAGGGUGCAAGCGUUAUCCGGAUUCACUGGGUUUAAAGGGUGUGUAGGCGGGUUUUUAAGUCAGUGGUGAAAUCUCCGAGCUCAACUCGGAAACUGCCAUUGAUACUAUUUAUCUUGAAUAUUGUUGAGGUAGGCGGAAUAUGUCAUGUAGCGGUGAAAUGCUUAGAUAUGACAUAGAACACCGAUUGCGAAGGCAGCUUGCUAAACAAUUAUUGACGCUGAGGCACGAAAGCGUGGGGAUCAAACAGG
rnacentral:rRNA from 1 species